UCAAACAGACUCAAAUCCAGACCUCAAAACUUGCCAGACUCGAUGACGUUACUGCCACGAUGACGACGACACUAUUAGUUCAAAACUCGUCCGACAUAGAAGUGAAGAUAUCGGGUGUUUUUGCGUGCAUACAAAGAAGCAGUAGUGGAUCCAAUGGUUUCUUGGGUGUGGGUGUUCGUGAGCAAGUGUAUUCCAGCGGGUUUCAGGCAGUGAGGUCCGGCGGCUUGGGUUGGAGUGAAGGAGAUGAUAUCAGGGGUCGUUUAUGUUGUGUGUGGGGAUACAAUUUUUUCCUGUUCUAGGGUGUGUUCAAAUGGUUAAGCGACAG
rnacentral:lncRNA from 1 species